rnacentral:rRNA from 1 species
GACGAACGCUGGCGGCGUGCCUAACACAUGCAAGUCAACUUGACUGAAGGAGCAAUCUGACAGUAGAGUGGCGCAAGGGUGCGUAACGCGUAAGUAACUUGCCCAAGGUAAGGAAUAACGUCGAGAAAUCGGCGCUAAUACCUCAUAAUGCAGCGGAUCCGCAUGGAUAUGUUGUUAAAGGUUUACCGCCUUGGGAUAGGCUUGCGUCUGAUUAGUUAGUUGGUGUGGUAACGGCACACCAAGGCUACGAUCAGUAACUGGUCUGAGAGGAUGAUCAGUCACACUGGAACUGAGACACGGUCCAGACUCCUACGGGAGGCAGCAGUGAGGAAUAUUGGGCAAUGCUCGAAAGAGUGACCCAGCAACGCCGCGUGGAGGAUGAAGGUAUUCUAUAUCGUAAACUCCUGUGAGAGCAGACGAAAGACAGAUUAUUAAUCUGGAUGACUGUAUGCUCAGAGGAAGCCCCGGCUAACUACGU